CGCACGGCCGAACAGCUGACGCGCAAGACGCACACUUCCAUAGAAAUAGACAGCACGGCGCCUAACCUAGAAAACAUGCGAUAAAUUUCCUUUUUUCGAAAAUCCUUACUAAUAAUCCGAAAUUAUGAUUCGUGAAAAAGAAACAUCAAAAUUGACCGACGUAUGGCUCUAGAAUUCCUCCCGUUCUUCCGUGACCCGACAACUUGCCUCGCGAUUUAAAAUUAUUGUUUCCGUCGUCGAACAUGGCAUUUCGAGACGAGAUCUUCCUCGCCGGAGACACUUCCGGAUCCCUGCUCGGCGUCGAGCUAACCUACUGGUUCCUGGCAGCCUUCGUUAUCUUGGUCCUCCUCUUUCUCAUUGUUCUGCUCAUCCUCUGCGUUUGGUGUUUCAGAGAUCUCAGAACCGUAUGCGACGAUGAUGAAGAUGCUGGCUGCAGCUGCGAAUAAGAGCACGAAAACGAUGAUGCCAAAGAGUUCUUCCUUCACAUUGCAUUGCCAUAGACUAGAUGGCCCUACCGCGUCUAUGGGACUCGCCCUUAGGUAUCGAUGGAAAGAUCGAUCCUCGUAUUCCCAGAUGGAAGUUGUUUCCUAACAGCGUAUCUCAUAAACCACUUUAUGAAACUCCAUCGUUGUAAUUGUCGUGUUUUUCGUGUCCAUUGUUGUAGAUAUUAAAUUUAUGUAUAAAAAUCAUGAUCCCAGGUAUUUUACAAGGGUUUUGUAAUGUCAAUCAUCGCCCUUCGGGCGCAAAAUGUGUCCCUGUCCAGAAACAACUCGUCUGAGUACUAUUUCCUGUUGUUUCAAACGUUCUGCGUUAUUGGCAUUCACGCGUAAUAUUCACACGCACCUCAGAUUUUAACGUACAAGCUAUUCAUAAUUAGAGUAUUUUAUUUUUCAUUCUCUGCAGGUAUCUUCUUAGUUUUUAAGAUAGUUGAGCAAUGUUUUCAUAAUGAGUUAUCUGAAAAUAUAUGAAAAAAUGAAGUUUUUUUAUCUUUUACCACACUAGACGUGGGUAAUUUGUCUUAAUAUUUUAUUAUAAUUUGAGAUACAUUCAAUGUAAAAUACUGCCGUGCUAAGGAAGAACGCCGUACGAACAUUCGAGAGUUGCCAAAUUUUCUUCGAUAAAAUGUUUAUUUUUGAGGAAAGUCAUGGAUAUUUUUCCUUGAAAUUUUCAGAAACUUUAGAUGAAAUUGCGCAAAAAAUUGUUUAAAAAAUUAGAGGGAAAAUAUUCAUAAGUUCACUGGGAAUUUUGUGUUUUAUCAAAGGAAAUUUGGCAACGCCCAAAGGCUCAUACGGGGUUUUCCCUUAGCACGGCAGAAUA
rnacentral:lncRNA from 1 species